UCCAAAAUUGUUUUUUAAUAAAUUAAGGCAAGAUCUUGAGCUGGUGUGUGCCGUUUUAGCACACCAGUGUGGUUUCCUUGCCAGAAAAAUAGAAAUAAUU